UCUGAGCUAAACUGUGUUUCCCUCAUUGGCCUUAUCUGAGCCAUCCUUCCCUAAUUCUGGGCUCUAGCAUCAGGGUGGGUUUCCUAAGCCAGCCCCUUUUCCCUGCAUUAUUCACUGCAGAAUAAGAGCCUGUUAACUUGGUUCAUGUGCCAGAGAAUACUCACCCUCUUGACACAUCAAUGAAAAUGAAAACUGGUUCAUUCAAAGGGAGUGUUAUUAAGCUGGAAGCUGAUAUGCCACAGAGUCAGUGUUGUGAAGAAAAUUCAUAUAAUCAGAUGUUUGAGCUCAGGAAGGAGGAACUGGAUUCUCUGAGAAAACCAAAGACAGGGUACCAUGACUGAAUCUUGAUGGCUUUAUAAAAAGAAGAACCAACAACUAGCCACAGAGACACAUGUAUCCCUCGUCUCCUGUCAUAAAUUGUCCUCUGCCAUCUUAGAGUGCUGCUAAUAAGAAGACCACCAUCAACUCGAGUUGCUGCCAACACCAUGAGUCAUUCAUUGUGUCUCCAAACUGUGAUCUUAACAGCCCUCCUCUGGCCUUCUGAAGUUAGCAUACAACGGGCUGAUCACUGGACUUCCUUUGUCCUAGUGCAGAGGCAAUGCUGAGGUAAUAACCACUGUACUGUGAGGACCACAGCAGUCUCACAUACAUCUUUGGGCUUCCAUUCGACUGGCAGACACAUCCAGGUAUCGGCUACUAACUUCAACCUGAGACAUAUGGACUUCCUGAAAGUUGAUAUGGACCAAUCCAGCAAAUAUAAAUGCUGUUUCUCCAGCUGGUCCAUGAACCAGAUGCUUCCAAAUCCCCUCCUUGCUUUUGACUAACAUUCUGGCUUUCUAGGGCCCUGAAAACGACAUUCCAACAUUAACAGGAAGUAAUUACAGAAGCAAAAAUGUCGUCCUUAUUCCUGGAAUGUUAGAUCAAAGAAAAUAUUCUAUCAUAGAGAAUGUGAGAUAAAUAAUAACUGGUCCCUAUUCUCAUUUCCAAGUUCCUUCAGGAUAAGGAACUCUGUCAGCUAUCAAGGGCUUUUGGACCUUCUGUUUCUGCUAAUUACUGCUGGCUCUUAUGUCAUUGAUGCCUUAACUAAAUAAUAAUUCCUGUUUGGAUGCUGCUAAACUGAUGACCCUAGAAUUCCUCAUCUCACUUUCUGAGGUCAUGUUACAGAAUAGGGUAGGGCUAGACCUCCAAUUCUUAUGACAAGGGGGACUAUGAGCAACCCUGGGAAAAAAAAUGAUGUUUUUAUAUAGAUCACUCUGGGCUAAUUAAGGACUCUAUGACCAAAGUAUGAGAAGGCCUCAACAAGCUGAUGCAAAUCAUCAAAGAAAGGUUGGGGACCAUUCAAUUAAUGAUGCAAAGGACUCAAACUUAAUGUGAAAUCCUCAACCAAGGUAAAAAAAAAAAAAAAUGGCCUGUCUGACUCAAGGUAGACAUUUGCAAACUAGGUAUUGACAACCCAUGAUUGGGUGUCCUCCAGUUACUAGGAGAGGAGGGAAUGAAAGAGAAAAAUCAGUAGCCAUCUUGAGAGAUGCUUCCCCCUCUCUUCCUCUGAAGGUAUUUGCU